CCCGUAGCGACCAUGGCGGGGAACAGGCUGGCCAAGUGCGACCUGGAGCGGGGACGGACCCCUGUCCCCGGACCCUAACGAUCUGACCCCAGCGCUCCGCCGCCGCCGUCAGAACGCGAGUGAGAAGUAUGCGGCGGACCCCGCGCGGGAUUUGAACCUGCGCUUCGCCCGCCCCAGGCACCGGCAGCCACCCACCGUGCACUCUAGGAGCGGGUCCCGCGGCGUGGCGCUGCUGUCGUCCCCGCCGGGCUCGGGCGCGUCCUCCCCCUCCGCGUCGCCGCCGCCGGCGCCCGCCCCCCCUGCUCCCCCCGCACCCCCCGCACCGGCCCCCCCCGCCGCCCCCGCCGACCCCGCGCCGCUCGCCGCGCACAACGCCGCCCGGGCCAGGAGGUUCCGCCCCCUCUCCAUCGCGCCAUAGGACACCACAAACAGCUGUGACACAGCGGGGGACUUCUAAACAUAAACACUAACAUAUGUACACACAGUAUAUCGUUAUACUCGUUAUGUACAUGUAUGUACAUGUAGCAAUACUAUUCGCUUACCACCUUUCCAUACAAACUUGUAUGCAACGGUUUCACUUUUCUCUACAGCUGACUGUACACAUUGAAUUUGUACAUGAGAUUCGACAAGUCAACGCCGUCCUGAACAGUCAAGGACAUGUACGCAGACUAAGUACUCAUAAAUAUCUAUACACUUAUCGAACACAUAUGUAAGAAUUCAUAGGCUACGGUAUAUGAUUACUACCAGGCCUAUAUUGCUUGCCACGGGUGGUUUUUCGGGUUAGCGCGCAAUUUCAGGCGUUUAUAAGCUACGGUGUCCACUUCCAAGUGCUUUUUGGUGAAGUGUAGAUAUUUAUGAGCCUGACUGUACUCGAGGGAGACACAAGCUGUGAUACCUGUAUAUGAUGUUGAUACCAAGGUAUAGCCAAAGAUGUAUUUGAUUGAGUAAGAUGCGUAAAAUCUAAGACAAUUUCGUGCUUCUUGAAAGGUAAACGAGAUGGCGCUGUACAGCUCCAUACAUUUUGCGCUAACUCUUGACUGUCAAAAGUUGACGUUUGACAAUUCAGUGACCGCAAAACAGAUGGCGCAGUACCACAGAAUAAUUAAUAGUACUACCGUACAGAAAGGAAACUUCCUACAAAAACGAAGUUUGACAGCGGUUCAGGGUCGAAUCAUGCUGUCGCUUUCUAAUAUAUGGCACUAUCCCUUUCGGCUAUUUAGGGUUGUCAAAAAUCAAGUGAUUAUCUUAUCUGUGGUCGUGCACGCAAAAGGAAGUCAAGUAGUGCCAACCCUAAUAAUAGCUCGGAGCAAUGCUGAGCCGAGCGGAGCCGAGUUUGACCGAAGUCAGGAGUUUCGCACCCCUGGCAGUACAUCGCCAGAUGUUUUGGAUGUCGAAAUAAGGGGCACGUUUUUUUUCUUAGACUUUACCUCUUUAUUACAAUCAGUUCUCUUUGGUAUAGCGAACGGAGAAUUAUAUGACUAGUUUUAUUUCAGUGGGACUUUUGAGAUUUAAGCAACUUGAGUGUUUUUUUAAUUUCAUUGUUCGGGUGCGCAAUUAAUAACCUCCUGAGAAUCAAUGUACAGUCGCCAUCAGAUAUAUCGGAGCGGCCAAGGUGUUCACAAUAUCUGAACACGCACUCUAACGCCCUGACAAUAGAGGCUUGUUCAGAUAUUUGUGAGCACCUUGGCCGCUCCGAUACAUUACAAUGUACAUAAUCGUGCAAUCUAAUUUGAACUUUUCAUGACCCAAAUAAAGUAGCAUUUCUUUUGUUUCAUCGCUUUUUAAACUAAGGAAAUUCGUUCUAAUUUACUAUAGAAUAAGGUUCAAAUUAAAAAUUUGAUAACUUUAGAUGGUGGGUCUUUCGAGGUUAAGGUUGAUCUCUUUGGUUUGAGUUACGACCACAGAUAAUACAGGGUGUUACUGACCAUGGGGCUUUAAUUCCAGGGCUCGAUUCUACUCGCUAUUCUGAACUACUUUUAUUAUGGCACCAACCCCGAAAUCCUAAAUUUUUUUUUUACUAUUUCAUACAUUUUGGGUGAUCAGAUGUCGACGUUUUCUAUGGGAAAGCCAAUUUUUUUCCCCGAUUUUAGGGUUGGUCCCAUAGUAAAAGUAGCUCAGUUUAGCGAGUAAAAUCAAGCCCUGGAUUUAAAGCCCCAUGGUCAGACACAUACUGUAUAAUAGCUUUCCCCAAAAUUCACUCAUUUUAGUUUACAAUAUAAUUAUAUUAUGAAGACCACUGAAUGACAAAUUAGUUAUAUAAUUCUUGAAUGGCCACUGUUAUAGAGUUACUGUACCGAAAACGGUACUGAAAUGUUAAAAUUAUAAAAUUGUGAUCUACUCGAACCUCAACUUAGAAUAAACCUUAUGUUAUUAAUGUUAUUUAAUAGCUUUAUAAGGGAAUUAAGCCGAUUUCCAUCGCUUAUGCUAUAUUUAAUAGUAUUUUACUUUAACCUUUUCGACGCCAACGACGGAUAUAUCCGAACCCGCAGGUCCAACGCCAACGACGGAUGAAUCCGUCACAGGUUUUAAAUUUGCCAGCCAAAUAAGUGAAGUAUAAAUAUAGAAUUCAAUUUUGAUUCUCUGUUCGGAUAUGCUUCCAAACCGCAAUAAGUGCUUUAAUAUGAUUAUAUUUACUUUAAAAAUAGGUAACAAUAAAAAAAAAUACAAUGAAAAAAAAACUUGUAUAAGUAUAGCAUAUGCGCUUGGUAAAAUAAGGCUACAAAAAUACUAUUUUCUAGAAGUGGUACUGCAGCGUAUUAGAAACAUAUCAUAAUUAUCAGUCUAAUUUGAUUACUUUCAACAUUUUUUUUGGUAUUAAUAAAAACUUUCUUCAACGCCUGGAAAAUUAAAAAAAAAUGUUUUUUCAUCGACGCAAAUGCUUCCUCCUGAGACCCAGAAGCAACUAUGUUGUUUUUGAAACUGGAACCCUUAGAGUUACACAAUAAAGUUCAAAAUAGAUUUUGGAAUAUGUACAAGAAAUUGUACGCAGGGAGGUUAAAGACGAAAAUGUUAUAUUAGUAAUAAUAGUUAGAAGCGCUCUCACCACUUCUAGUAAUACCUAGUAUAUGAAAUACGGUAACUCAGUUAUGGGUCAUUCUCAUUAAAUAUGUCUGCAGCCUAAUUGCCGUGACCAUACAAAAUGUAUGAAAAGUCGUGGCAAUUAGGCCGCAGAUAUUAUCAGAGAAUUAGCCUUAUAGGGUAAUGCUAUAUGACUCGCUUUCCCAAGCUAAAUGUUACAUUGCAAUGUAAGAUUACAUUUCUUAUAGUCUGUAUCUUUAGGUAUUUAAAUAAAAGUAAACAAAAUCUACCCUCAAAUGACUCCUUAAGCCAGAGAUGAAAACAUUACACGAUCAAAUAAUGUAGGUUAAAGUCACGUUGUUCAGUGACGGAUCCAGGCGGUUUUGUAUUUGGUCGGUUAACCAAUAAAUGUUAACUACCCGAAAAUGUACAAAUUAUUUGUUUAUUUUUAUUUAAAUCCCUAAAGAUACAGAGUGUAGUUAUGGUCAUUGGCCAUGAUUUAAAAAAAGAACAUUUUGACAACUGAAUGUUCUAAUCAUUUUAAACGGUAAGGUAUUGCCAACUUUUUAAUAUUUUUAUUGUAGCCCGGUGCAUAAAGCCUGCCGUCAUGGCGCGUAAAAUUGUAAGGUGCUGUCAGUACUGUAAGAAUCAAGGCAGUGAAAUGUGACGUUCCACGGCUAAAGGUACCUUAUGGCGGUCGACACUUACGAUAUUAAUAACGACACAUAAUACUAAUGCGAUGCUACGUGACGUAAGCGCCUCCAUAAGGUACCUUUUCCCGUGGGCGUCACAAAUAGUUAUGCUAGCGAUCAUUUAUGUAACAGACAGGCAAAAUAGUAAUGAAACUGUUUUCUAGUGAUUUGAAAACCAUGAGCCGAAGUAUGAAAUUGAGGCGCUUAUUUUGGUGCACACAUAACCUCAAUUGCGUCGUUUUAGUAUAGUUUGUAGGUUUCUAAUAGAGUCCGACGGCUAAUCCUAUUGUCUAUUGUUAAGUAAAACUGCACCUGCCACAACCACCUCCAUAAAAAAUACGUACUUCGGUACUUAUACUGAGUGCCGGCGAGUCGAACGCUACGGAUCCAGUCUUAUUUUAUAAUGUGUCAUCGAGAUGCGUAACAAAGGCGCGUUAUCGGAGAGCGCACCUACACUAGUUGUUUGAGCGUUGGACUAGCCCGCGCUCAGGUGCCAAAUAGAAUAAUUAAAACCCUUUUUUUCAGGUAAGUAGCACGUGCGGUUUUACUUAACAAUAGACAAUAGGAUUAGCCGUCGGGCUCUAUUAGAAACCUACAAACUAUAAUAAAUAUUACAAGUAAAAUAUUAGUAAUUAAUAUAAUACAUAAUUAUAAUAUUAGUAACUAAAGUGACACAGUUGAGCUUAUGGUUAUUACAUUACAUUAUUUAUAAUUAUUAUUGGUAUGUACUUGUAUAUACAAAUACAUUUCUUAUAUACUUCUUAUUACAAUGAAAAUACGAGGCAACUUUUUGCAACGAAUCUUACAGAUUGCAAAUUUUAACCUUUUGCCAAUCCACGAGAGUCGAUAUUGCUUUGGCGCCGCUGACGGCAUAUACCGUCGACUUUUUUAUAAAUAUAGUAGAAGUAUAUAUUUUAUAUGCAAGUACAUUUUCUCAUCUCAAAAUGUAUAUAGUGUUUAAAUUUAAUUUAAUUGGCUUAUAAAUGUUAAGACUUAUCGCUCAUUAUUUAUUUGACAGGUGCUAGUUUUGUAUAGCCUAACUUUUAGUCGAGAGUUUUGACAGAAAAUGUCAAAUCGACCAUUUCCCUUCAGCUGUUGACUCGGUGUCCAUACUAACCCCUAGUCUUGUCUCUUUCGCGUACGUUAAUAAUUAUGUGGUUAAAAAGAGAUGCAUAUUUUGAAAUAAAGAAAUAUUUGUAUGCUAAAUUUAAUUUUAGGUGCUAUUGAUUUAAAAAUCAUGACAGUCGAAAUGACAAUUCUUUUUACGAAAAAAAUUGUACAGAGAGGUUUGCUUUAAUAUUAAAAAAAAGGAGAUUAUUUAUUUGAUUAUUUUGCGGCUUUGGUUAUUAUUUAUUUUUAAUUACAAGGUGUAAUGUUCAAAAUAAAUUGUUAUUAUCAAAUUGUUACUUAAUAUCUAUCGUGGCUUAAGAGUGAAUAUAUAAUUAGGGAAUUAUCGAAAAAAAAAAACACUUGAGUAAUAUUAAGCGUUGCUUUUGAAUGAACUGAUUGAAGUGGCUCGAGAUUCGAGAAAGUCGAAAAUUGUAACUUUCCUUAAUAGAAAGUUGGAUUUUGGUCGAAAAUGCAGGGAAUGUACUGUGUAUCCUUUUUGAAGGAAUGUAUAAAAAAAAGAUAUUUUUCAAACGUGGAAUUUUGAAAGGAUUUCGCUACUGUGGUUUUUAAAUGUAUCUCAAGGUAUCGAUGUUGCACUUUUAUUCUUUUAAAGUUAAACAGAUAAUAUUAAAGUAUUUAUUUCAAAUGAAAGCAUUUAACUUAAUAUUCGAUGCAUUUCUAAUACUAUUCUUUUCACAUCAUUCUCAUUUCGAAAUGAUAAUUCGAAUGAAAUGAAAAUGAUAACUUCCUAUUGCUUUUAAUUUGUCUUUGAAAUGUUUUUAAAUACUUUAAUAUUAUUGAUUCUAUACAUAUGUAUAAAAUGGAUAAAUAGUAAUAAUACGUAGAUGCCAUUACAUUCUAGUCUCGCUGCGUAGUCUUAGAAUGAGAAUAUAUAUGUAAUAAUUAAUUAAUACAUAAAAUAUUUAGCAAUUAAUUAUGAUAUUAAAACGAGAGAAAAGGUUGACGCACCUGGGGGGCUACCGCGAAAACCGAAGUUCGCAAAUUGACCGCUCUCUUUUACUCCAACGAAGGCGUAAUUAGAUUGACAAAGAUGCCCGCAAUUUGCGAACUUCGAUUUUCGCGGUUGUAGCUCUGGAUUGUUUUACAGUGGCAACACAGAGUAAUGUUGCCAGUGUGGAAUGGUCCGAAAUAUGUUGCUGAUUUAAAUUCGCUUUUGAAAGCGCGUUCGGUGUCUAUUUUUAUAUUGAACUCAUCUGUAUGGGGAAAAAAGUAAUGUAUUUCAACUUUUUCUUUGUAUGGGUAAUUUACUUGUAAAAUAAAAUGUGUGAAACCACCAAACCCUUUGACUGCCACAGUUGGCCAUAGCCGACAAAGGUUAAAAUUAACCAAAUAAAAUAGUCUUGGCGGUCAAAAUGUAAAAAUCUGCAAGUAUGGUCAAGUAAGAUGGUAGUACUGGUGCUCGACGCGGUCCCAGUACAUGUCAUCUUGAAACUUAAGUCAUUGUCAAUAGAGGUGACAGCAAGGUGUCAUCUAUUGGGCAUUAGCGUGUCGAGCACUAGUACCUUAUUGCUUAUCAAUUUGUAAUUGAUGUAAUAACUAAUAAGUUAUUGGUUUAAUAGGAACACAGGAAAAAAGAUAUGUAUUUUAAAUUGAAUCCAGCUACAGAUGAGUUCAUUGUGCUAUACCUCAUUUAAUAUAUUAAAUUAGUGAAUUAAUAUACCCUCAAUAAUAUCACGACAAAUUAUUUACUAAAAGGGUCUAUAAAAAAGGGUUAAAAGGUAAAUAUAUAAAUUCUGUUCCAAAAAUUUGGACUUAAAUAAGUAUAAUUAAUUAAUUAUAUCAAUUAAGUACUUACCAAAAUAUUACAUGUAAAUGUCUAGAAUACCCAUAUCUAUAGCAUGCGGGAGAAGCACAGUUCCAUUUUCGCAAAGCACUUACAUACUUGUUAGAACGUGACAGGCAUGGUGACAAACGAUAAAAAUACGACCAUGCUACCGCCGCAGAAAAAGAAAAGAUAAUUUCGUGUUAAUAUUUAAGUGACCCAAAAGGGUAUAUUUUCAAUAUAAAAGCAUUUGUUAUUUGCUAACUUGAUAUAUUAAAUAGGGCAUGGCAACACCGAUGCAUUACAAUUCUAGUCUAUGGCCGCUUCCGUCUCUUAAAUUUUAUCAUUAAAAAAUGAGACAUUAUUUUUGUCAAAUGUAUAAAAAAUGUUAAUAAGUAUAGGGCUCUUUUUUAAAGUAUUGUCUGAGGGCGGUUUUUUUAUUGACGCACGCUCGGUUAACGUUUUAUUUUGCCAUAUUUUUUUACAUUUACCGAAAUAUGCACAAUAAAAUUUUAAUAAAAGGUAAUUUGUCCUUUCA